CAGCCGCCGCGGUAAUACGAAGGGUGCAAGCGUUAAUCGGAAUUACUGGGCGUAAAGCGUGCGUAGGCGGUGAGUUAAGUCUGCUGUGAAAUCCCCGGGCUCAACCUGGGAAUGGCAGUGGAUACUGGCUCGCUAGAGUGUGUCAGAGGAUGGUGGAAUUCCCGGUGUAGCGGUGAAAUGCGUAGAGAUCGGGAGGAACAUCAGUGGCGAAGGCGGCCAUCUGGGACAACACUGACGCUGAGGCACGAAAGCGUGGGGAGCAAACAGGAUUAGAUACCCCAGUAGUCCCUGUCUCUUUACA
rnacentral:rRNA from 1 species